CCUGGCAUUUGAGCCCGUGACCCGCAAACCCGCCCGAAACCCGCACGGUAAAAGCCCGCACGAACCCGCCCAUUUAUUAAAUUCGUGCUUAGAAAGCCCGCACGCAAAAAGCCCGCAAAUUAACGGGCCUUGCGUGCUAAGCCCACUGGAACCCAUUGGAACCCGUUUACUUCCAAACAAACCCACUCCGACCCUUUCGACUCAGCAACUCUCUCUCUGUGGAACGCAACCCUGAAUCUGAGCAGUGAGCACAGCAGCCUCCCAUUCAUUUCCGUCACCCAAAUCCCAACUCUCUCUCUCUCUCUCUCUCUCUCUCAUCUCUCUCUGCGCGCCCAAUUUCUCAAGAUUUCUGGGUUUCUGAUCUCAUCAUGUCCAGUUUCAAAGCUUCUGCAAUUUGAAUUUUGUUGCUGCGUGUUUAGUUAAUUGAACACCCAUGCCAGUUGACAAAGAGAUGGAAUUUGAAUAUGGUUGUACUGUUGUAGCAUGUUUUUGUUGUUUAUAUGAAGAACUAGAAACUGAAGGAUCCAGAUGAGUUUAUGAGAUUGGUUGAAGUUUUUGUGCUGAGUUUCCUUGCCGUGAUGGAUGAUCUGCAUAGAGUGUGGUUUCUGCUUUAAAGGGGGAAUUUGUAAUCUUCCAUGGUUUCUGCUCACUUGUCGGUCUUUUCCAUGGUUUCUGCUUUAAAGGGGGAAUUUGUAAUCUUCCAUGGUUUCUGCUCACUUGUCGGUCUUUUCCAUGGUUUCUGCUUUAAAGGGGGAAUUUGUAAUCUUCCAUGGUUUCUGCUCACUUGUCGGUCUUUUCCAUGGUUUCUGCUUUAAAGGGGGAAUUUCAACCUUCCAUGGUUUCUGCUCAUUUCCCAAAUUCGUCAUGUAUUGUUUAAAGGGGGAAUUAAUUUUAAGAACUACAUGUGGUUGCUUUAGUGCUUAUUCACUGUACAGAAUGCAACAUAAUAGCUUCCGUUAGCAUGGUAUAUAUUUGGUUGAUGUGGAAUUUUAUGUUGAUUUAA